rnacentral:misc_RNA from 1 species
AAGUCGUAACAAGGUUUCCGUAGGUGAACCUGCGGAAGGAUCAUUACCGAGUAUUGGGUCUUAGUGCCCGCACUCCAACCCUUUGUGUACCUAAAAUUGUUGCUUUGGCGGGCCCGCGGUGUAAUGCCGCUGCUGGCUCACGCUGGUUAGUGCCCGCCAGAGAACCGUUAAACUCUUGUUUAUUCAGUGUCGUCUGAGCAAAAUUUAAUAAUCAAAACUUUCAACAACGGAUCUCUUGGUUCUG